rnacentral:rRNA from 1 species
UACAGAGGGUGCGAGCGUUAAUCGGAAUUACUGGGCGUAAAGCGCGCGUAGGCGGCUUUGCAAGUCGGGUGUGAAAUCCCCAGGCUUAACCUGGGAACUGCAUUCGAGACUGCAUUGCUAGAGUAUGGGAGAGGGAAGUGGAAUUUCCGGUGUAGCGGUGAAAUGCGUAGAUAUCGGAAGGAACACCGGUGGCGAAAGCGGCGCGCUGGAUCUCUUCUGACGCUGAGGCGCGAAAGCGUGGGGAGCAAACGGG